rnacentral:rRNA from 1 species
AGACGUCUACAUUAGAUACCCCGUGUAGUCCCAGCCGUAAACUAUGCGCGUUAGGUGUAUCGGUGACCACGAGUCACCGAGGUGCCGAAGGGAAACCGUGAAACGUGCCGCCUGGGAAGUACGGUCGCAAGGCUGAAACUUAAAGGAAUUGGCGGGGAGCACCACAACGGGUGGAGCCUGCGGUUUAAUUGGACUCAACGCCGGGAAGCUCACCGGAUAAGACAGCGGAAUGAUUGCCGGGCUGAAGACUCUGCAUGACUAGCUG